rnacentral:rRNA from 1 species
UGGUGUAAAGGAUGAUCCGCCUAAUAAUUUACUUUUAUUAUAUUGGUGUAUAUCUGGUUUAAUAUUAUUGCUGAAUGGUAGAAGUUGUGUAGUGUUAUUUAAGCCAAGUCUAUGUGCUGUUUAUAAAAGUAUUCAUGCGUUACAUUAAUAAGUAUUUAAUUGUAAUAUUAGAUGAUUUAGGACUUAAAAGUAAUGUUUAAUUAAUUAGUAAAUGUGAAAUAA